UACGUAGGGUGCAGGCGUUAAUCGGAAUUACUGGGCGUAAAGCGUGCGCAGGCGGUUUCUUAAGUCAGAUGUGAAAUCCCUCGGCUUAACCGGGGAACUGCGUCUGAUACUGGAUGGCUUGAGGUUGGGAGAGGGAUGCGGAAUUCCAGGUGUAGCGGUGAAAUGCGUAGAUAUCUGGAGGAACACCGGUGGCGAAGGCGGCAUCCUGGACCAAUUCUGACACUGAGGAGCGAAAGCCAGGGGAGCAAACGGG
rnacentral:rRNA from 1 species